UUUGUCCCUUAAGGAAUCUAGUUCCUUAGAUUACAAAAAAUGCGUAACAGACGGAGAAAAAACCUCCUCACCCACCGAAUACUACAUUGAGAAGGGAUUCCGGUAAUCCAGAAUUUGACUGCGAGGUUAGUAAAAUCUAGCAAAAACUUGUUUCUACCGAAAAUCAAAUUCGGAUUCCCUCGGACGAUUCGUCCUAAGGAGAGGUCGUUAACAUUUGAGCUCAAUGUCUUGGUUAUUUUACUAAUUACUUGUAAAUUAGUCAUUGAUUAUACUAUUGUUAAA